GCAUGAAUCAACUCCAAGCUUAAAGAGAGGGAAAGAAUAGGAGGUGGCAAUUCUUACAACCAAGUACAGUUAAUAUCAAAGCCUGAGGCCCUUUUAGCCAAGUGGAUCAUCUAAAUAUCUCUGUAGCAAAGAAGAAAUUUUCAAGACAAUAUCUUUAUACAUAUGAACAUCAAAGCAUUGUUUAGAUCCUGAUUCU